rnacentral:lncRNA from 1 species
CUCUUAGGCUGCCGCCUGCCGCGCCGAGCCUUCGAGAUCCUUUGUACCCCCACCCGGCGCCCGAGGAGAGGCCCCGGCCGGGGACCGACGUGGGGCAGGUCGUGGGCGGGCCCAGCCGCCAGGCGAGGCGGGAGCUCCGGCGGCCCCCGAGCCUCCGCCUGCGCCCUUCCCUCCGCCUGGGACGCGCGCCGCCCGCCCCACUCCAAGUCUGGGUGCAAGGCCACCUCCCGCCCCCGGCCCGGCCCUGACCCCUCCGCGACUGGGCGUGUCCGUGUACGGCUGGGUUCCUCCGCCCCGGGAGGGCUCCUUCGGCCUGGGCCGGGGACUUCUCCCCAAGCAACCCGCCGUCUCAAGGUCGGGGCGCUGCCCCGCGUGCUUCAGACGAGAACCAUCGAGGCCCAGCGAACUCCGGCGGCGCCCCGGCUGCCGGGCCCCAGGGAGGGCCCGGGUCCCGCGGCGGGGGAGGGGACUCUGCGGCCCCGCCCUGCCCGGGGAAGUGAGACUGGGGGCCCUCCCCCGCACACUCCCCACUUCCUCCCCGGAGAGGCGGCGGCGGGGACGGGGGUGGGGGAGCGGCCGCGGCUUCGGAGGGGUCUCCCCGCCCCCACGCCCCAGGGGGCAGGGCUGACGUUGAUGCACCUCCAGCGCUGGGGCCCCCCAAAUCUGCUCCCGCCUUGGGGCCCCUUGCUAACCGACCCGGAUUCUGCCUGCUUCUCCCCCCGCCGAUGGCCCCGCCGCCUCCUCCCCGCUCCCUCCGCUGUCGGCCUCGCUGGCGGCCAAUCUGCGCGACGUGGUACCUGCGGCCCAAAGGGCCCUGCAGGCCCGAGGCCCAGCUCUGCUGCCAGCCCGGCCCCGGAGCCCUGGCCCGCGUCCUCCUGCGCACAUGCCCUCCAAAAGUCGGGGCCAGGCUCUGCCCAGAGCCUUCGUUUGUCCAUCCGAAAAAUGGGGACAGGUGUCCGUCCUUGCGGUGCUGCUGUGGGCAUCUUAAGAAAGAAUGUCAAGAGGAGGUUUCCCAUCUUGGCACCAUGGACGGUCCGCUCAUUCAUUACUUCACUCAUCCGUUACAGCAUUCACUCAUUCACUUAA